UUCAGUAAGUGGUUUUAAAAAUCGUUUUUUAAAAGUGGUAUCAUAAUGCAUCUUAUACCGAAUACAAAAUAACAGUUUCACUAGAAACCAAUGUAUUUCGCAGUCAUCGAUUUCUCACUUAGCUGUCGGUAGGUGAAAUGGUGUUGGCUAGGUGGGAAUUAGAUCCAAGAACAUCUAAAGAACAAAAGAAUUUAAAAACAGAUUUUAUGUAACAUCUCAGAAUGACGUGAACUUGGGUACACGAGAUUCAAAAUGGAGAAAUACAUGUCCACGCGCUAGUAUUCGAAUUGACGCCAUUGGGACCAAAAAUUUCAAGUUCCAUAGAUAUUGCACUGAAGGUCCAAUAGGCGUAUAUUGUACUGUUUGCUGUACGCCUUGUUUAUGAGAGCAUUGAUGCACUGUGAAUUGAUUGACUGAUUACAACAUUAAUUUAUUAUACCAAAUACAUGAUGUUGAGCAUUCUCUACUUGUGUGACGUUUUUGAUUAGGUACAUGUAUCAUCGUGUAUUCAAUAAAAAAAAAAAAGUGGGAGAUGGACAGUGCAUGCCAUGAGGGAAAAGAAAAAUAUAUGAGUACAUGUCAUUUCUAUUGUCCGAUGCUGUAAAAUUGAGGAUUAAUGACAGAGUGGGCAUGAAUAAAAAACUGUGUUAGCACCAGAUGAUCCCAGAUUAAUUGCAAAACAUCUGGCGCCUGUAGAACCACUUCCAACUGAAGAACUUGUGUUGCAGCAGAAAUCUCGAUUUUGAACUGCCAAGAGAAAUAAAUGUGAAUUUUAUAUUGUAAACAAAUGUGAAAUUAUACUUAGUAUAGUACAUGUAUUGCAGCAAUAUUUAAUUGAAAUUGUAUCAUGUAAAA